CAAAGGCCUGGUCCUGACUUUACUAUCAGCUUUAGCCCAAUUUAUACAUGCAAGUAUCCGCACUCCUGUGAGAAUGCCCUCAAUCCCCCGUCCGGGGACGAGGAGCUGGCAUCAGGCACACUUAUUUUAGCCCAAGACGCCUUGCUACGCCACACCCCCAAGGGAACUCAGCAGUAAUAAACAUUAAGCCAUAAGUGAAAACUUGACUUAGUUAGGGCUAAGAGGGUCGGUAAAACUCGUGCCAGCCACCGCGGUUAUACGAGAGACCCUAGUUGAUGACUACGGCGUAAAGAGUGGUUUGGGACCCUACAAUAAAUAAAGCCAAAGACCUCCCAAGCUGUCAAACGCACCCCGGAGGCACGAAGCCCUAACACGAAAGUAGCUUUACCCUCUAUUCCCGACGCCACGAAAGCUAAGAGACAAACUGGGAUUAGAUACCCCACUAUGCUUAGCUAUAAACUCAGAUGCAAGACAUACAAAUAGCAUCCGCCAGGGUACUACAAGCGCUAGCUUAAAACCCAAAGGACUUGACGGUGUCUCAGACCCGCCUAGAGGAGCCUGUUCUAGAACCGAUAAUCCCCGUUAAACCUCACCAUCCCUUGUUUUUCCCGCCUAUAUACCGCCGUCGCAAGCUUACCCUGUGAAGGGUCUGUAGUAAGCAAAAUGGGCAAGCCCCAGAACGUCAGGUCGAGGUGUAGCUUACGAGAUGGAAAGAAAUGGGCUACAUUUUCUACAACAGAAUAUCACGAACGGUACCAUGAAACUGGUGCCCGAAGGUGGAUUUAGUAGUAAAAAACAAACAGAGCGUGUUUUUGAACCCGGCUCUGAGACGCGCACACACCGCCCGUCACUCUCCCCAUCACCUAACCACACAAGUAAAUAACCAAAAAUAUUUCACAGCGGGGAGGCAAGUCGUAACAUGGUAAGUGUACCGGAAGGUGCACUUGGAACAC
rnacentral:ncRNA from 2 species